UACGUAGGGUGCAAGCGUUGUCCGGAAUUAUUGGGCGUAAAGAGCUCGUAGGCGGUUUGUCGCGUCUGCUGUGAAAACUCGGGGCUUAACCCCGGGCCUGCAGUGGGUACGGGCAGACUAGAGUGCGGUAGGGGAGACUGGAAUUCCUGUUGUAGCGGUGAAAUGCGCAGAUAUCAGGAGGAACACCGGUGGCGAAGGCGGGUCUCUGGGCCGUAACUGACGCUGAGGAGCGAAAGCAUGGGGAGCGAACAGG
rnacentral:rRNA from 1 species